rnacentral:rRNA from 2 species
UCCGACCUCAGAUCAGACGAGAUUACCCGCUGAAUUUAAGCAUAUCACUAAGCGGAGGAAAAAAAACU